rnacentral:rRNA from 1 species
AGUGAACGCUGGCGGUAGGCCUAACACAUGCAAGUCGAACGGCAGCACAGUAAGAUCUUGCUCUUACGGGUGGCGAGUGGCGGACGGGUGAGGAAUACAUCGGAAUCUACUUUUUCGUGGGGGAUAACGUAGGGAAAUUUACGCUAAUACCGCAUACCACCUCCGGGUGAAAGCAGUGGAUCUUCGGACCUUGCGCGAUUGAAUGAGCCGAUGUCGGAUUAGCUAGUUGGCGGGGUAAAGGCCCACCAAGGCGACGAUCCGUAGCUGGUCUGAGAGGAUGAUCAGCCACACUGGAACUGAGACACGGUCCAGACUCCUACGGGAGGCAGCAGUGGGGAAUAUUGGACAAUGGGCGCAAGCCUGAUCCAGCCAUACCGCGUGGGUGAAGAAGGCCUUCGGGUUGUAAAGCCCUUUUGUUGGGAAAGAAAAGCAGCAGGUUAAUACCCCGCUGUUCUGACGGUACCCAAAGAAUAAGCACCGGCUAACUUCGUG